rnacentral:rRNA from 1 species
AUUGAACGCUGGCGGCAGGCCUAACACAUGCAAGUCGAGCGGUAGCACAGAGAGCUUGCUCUCGGGUGACGAGCGGCGGACGGGUGAGUAACGUCUGGGAAACUGCCUGAUGGAGGGGGAUAACUACUGGAAACGGUAGCUAAUACCGCAUAACGUCGCAAGACCAAAGUGGGGGACCUUCGGGCCUCAUGCCAUCAGAUGUGCCCAGAUGGGAUUAGCUGGUAGGUGGGGUAACGGCUCACCUAGGCGACGAUCCCUAGCUGGUCUGAGAGGAGGACCAGCCAGACUGGAACUGAGACACGGUCCAGACUCCUACGGGAGGCAGCAGUGGGGAAUAUUUCACAAUGGGCGCAAGCCUGAUGCAGCCAUGCCGCGUGUGUGAAGAAGGCCUUCGGGUUGUAAAGCACUUUCAGCGGGGAGGAAGGCGAUAAGGUUAAUAACCUUGUCGAUUGACGUUACCCGCAGAAGAAGCACCGGCUAACUCCGUGCCAGCCGCCGCCGUAA